ACGGGUGAGUAAUGUCUGGGAAACUGCCUGAUGGAGGGGGAUAACUACUGGAAACGGUAGCUAAUACCGCAUAACGUCGCAAGACCAAAGAGGGGGACCUUCGGGCCUCUUGCCAUCAGAUGUGCCCAGAUGGGAUUAGCUAGUAGGUGGGGUAACGGCUCACCUAGGCGACGAUCCCUAGCUGGUCUGAGAGGAUGACCAGCCACACUGGAACUGAGACACGGUCCAGACUCCUACGGGAGGCAGCAGUGGGGAAUAUUGCACAAUGGGCGCAAGCCUGAUGCAGCCAUGCCGCGUGUGUGAAGAAGGCCUUCGGGUUGUAAAGCACUUUCAGCGGGGAGGAAGGGGGUAAGGUUAAUAACCUUGCUCAUUGACGUUACCCGCAGAAGAAGCACCGGCUAACUCCGUGCCAGCAGCCGCGGUAAUACGGAGGGUGCAAGCGUUAAUCGGAAUUACUGGGCGUAAAGCGCACGCAGGCGGUCUGUCAAGUCGGAUGUGAAAUCCCCGGGCUCAACCUGGGAACUGCAUCCGAAACUGGCAGGCUUGAGUCUCGUAGAGGGAGGUAGAAUUCCAGGUGUAGCG
rnacentral:rRNA from 1 species